UGAUUCACCGAAGCGACGAGACCUUGAAAGCAACUUUUUCAAGUGUUAGUAGCGGGACGUUCUGUCAAUCGGGGAAGGUUUUUGGUGACAAGACCUGGAGAUAUCAGAAGUGAGAAUGCUGACAUGAGUAACGAGAAAUCCUAUGAAAAACACGAUCGCCUGCCAGUGGAAGGCUUUCUGCGUUCAGUCAGUCUACGCAGAGUGAAUCGGUCUCUAAGGAACCCCCGAAAGGGCUUCCGUCCGAUGGGUACACGAAAGUGACGAAGUUGCUUUGACUAAUGAACCAUGCCUGGAUCGUCGGAGUGAAUUGGAUGAUCGGGCCGAGGGCUGCCCCCUCUUCCCCUCGCUCUCCUUUCCUUAAUAUUCACCGUCGAGUCAUCAAAGUCGUCAACUAAUUCAGAGGGGCUCGGCUGGCCCGGAGAUCGGAAGGGCAU